rnacentral:rRNA from 1 species
CCUACGGGAGGCAGCAGUGGGGAAUAUUGCACAAUGGGGGAAACCCUGAUGCAGCGACGCCGCGUGAGUGAAGAAGUAUUUCGGUAUGUAAAGCUCUAUCAGCAGGGACGAGACAAGACGGUACUUGACUAAGAAGCCCCGGCUAACUACGUGCCAGCAGCCGCGGUAAUACGUAGGGGGCAAGCGUUAUCCGGAAUGACUGGGGGUAAAGGGAGCGUAGACGGCUGUACAAGCCUGAAGUGAAAGGCCGGGGCUCAACCCCUGGACUGCUUUGGAAACUGUACGGCUGGAGUGCAGGAGAGGUAAGUGGAAUUCCUAGUGUAGCGGUGAAAUGCGUAGAUAUUAGGAGGAACACCAGUGGCGAAGGCGGCUUACUGGACUGUAACUGACGUUGAGGCUCGAAAGCGUGGGGAGCAAACAGGAUUAGAUACCCCUGUAGUC